rnacentral:rRNA from 1 species
CCUACGGGAGGCAGCAGUGGGGAAUAUUGCACAAUGGGCGAAACCCUGAUGCAGCGACGCCGCGUGAGUGAAGAAGUAUCUCGGUACGUAAAGCUCUAUUAGCAGGGAAGAAAAUGACGGUACCUGACUAAGUAGCCCCGGCUAACUACGUGCCAGCAGCCGCGGUAAUACGUCGGGGGCAAGCGGUAGCCGGAUUUACUGGGUGGAAAGGGAGCGUAGGCGGCAGGACAAGUUUGGAGUGAAAUCACGGGGCUUAACCCCCGAACUGAUGUGGAAACUGGGCGGCUGGAGUGCGUGAGGGGAAGGCGGAAUUCGUGGUGUAGCGGUGAAAUGCGUAGAUAUUAGGAAGAACACCGGUGGCGAAGGCGGCUUACUGGACUGUAACUGACGCUGAGGCUCGAAAGCGUGGGGAGCAAACAGGAUUAGAUACCCUAGUAGUC